CUUUAAGGUAGGAUCCUACUUUUCAAUGGCCUAAACUACUGUCAAUUCUCAGCAGUGACCGAUAAUUGGUCACGAGAAAAGACUCCAGGUUAUUCCUUUCUGUCCUGCUGUUUGAGACUGGGAAGGAUGGGCAGUUCAAGUUAAAAAUUGGUUUAUAUAUUGGGGUAUAUAUAUAUAUAAAUGUAUGUAUAUUUAAAUAGGUUAAAAUUGGAGACUUGCAGCUCCAGCAGUGAUCUAAGAACUUCUGUUGAUGCUGUAUCAAAACACUCAUGAUAUUUGGACUUCUCUUCAGAUGGAAACCUGAGUUGUGACUGAUCAAUAAGCCCUUAUAAUGGGGUUUUCCUGUUUGAUUUUCUACCUACUGGAUUAUUGCAGUGAUUCUAGGGAUCCUCUUCUUGGUAUUUCUGGGAAUAACAGGGCAUUUUAUUACCAAAGGUAUGUAAAUCUCCUUCACUGAAAAUACUUAAUUUGAAUUUAGAACUUAAUCAGGGAUCACAGCAGAGCUCUUGAAAUCUGCUCAUUGGUCCAAGAAGAAUGUGGAGGUCUUCUCUUUAAAAAAAUAUUUACUCUCAUACCUAUUUCCAUCUGGAAAAUGGAUGUCCUUCACAGAUUCCUUCAGAGACUCUGAUUCUUUGCAAGCCUCAGAAGAGCUCCAGGGAUGGCAUUACUGUAAAUGAAUAUUUUCUGAAUAAAUGAAAAAAUUUCUGAAAGAACACAUUUGGGAAACGAGUUUGUAAGGAACUAGACAUGACUACAAAUGGGAGGAGACAUAUAUGAUUCUUUUUCAGGCUGUCCAUGUCCAUGCUGCCCUGAGCAGUGAGUGACCUACAGAGGCAGUUGUUACUCCUUCUCCAAGGAGAAGGACUAGAACUCCAGCCAGGAAUCCUGCUGGGCAGAGGGAGCUCAUCUCCUGGUGAUCAGCAAUACCUGUGAAAUGGUGGGUGCCUUUGCAGAGGUAAGGGCAGGAUGAAGUGGGAGCAAGUCCCUGGUACUGUUAUGGUAGUUCCUUCCCUCUGGGAGGAAGGGAGAGCGUAAAAGGCUCCUGGGACCCACCCACCACCACCCUGCACUGGCAAAGACAAGGCUUUCCCUUAGACACUUUGCAAGAGGGACUUGCUUCUUUCUACCUGACUCAGCUAAGUUUUGUUUGUCAUGAGUUCAGUCUUCAAAACCCACAGCUGGGGAAGCUGCCUGGCACUCUGAAAUGCUGAGUCUCACAAAGCAGGUCUCUGAAGGAAGGAAGGGAAUAGGUGUUCACAUUCAGAAAUGGCCCCAAAAUUUCCUCUGUCACACACUGCUUCUUUCUCUACCCUUCAAGACCCAGGACUUGACUGGGUUUCUUUGAGUCUACUGAUCUCUCUGUCUUUCCAUCCCUCUUAGGACUUCUUCCAGAUACUACACAGCAAAUCCCACUGGAUUGGUUUGCAGAGGAACACUGAUGGGAACUGGGCCUGGGAAGAUGGCUCAAAACUGAGCAGUGAAAAUUGAGUAUGGUGUUUCCUUUGUACUUUUAGAUAAAAUGCUUGAGAUCCUUCCCCUCUCUGACAUGAGAAGUCUCAUGGUAUUGGGCAGAAGUCAACUAGCAAUGGACACAGCUGCUAAGGGAAGUUCAGAGCAGUCAUAGGCUCUAGUAGCUAAGGGCUUCUUCCUGCCAAGCUACCAGGGCCCAGCUGGGUGCCUGUAGACCUGGGAGUCUCUAUCCCAGGCUAAUGGACACAACUGCUGCAUUCCUGCCAGUAGGUCCCACUUGUUUUGUGUCCCGGGACAAAUAUGUAUACAGGCACACAUGCAAGCAAAACUGUGACAGUGAUCAUGCCUGUAAUCAUCAGCUGCUCCCAGAGAAUCAGACCCAUCCCGUGCUUUACCUCAUCCCCUCUCUUUCCUCCUUGUCCCCUUAAAGUUCCUCAACAAGUUUUGCACAGCCACACAGGCCCACCUUGAAUGUACUCAAAUCUUCCAGUUCCACUUUCACCUCACCUUUCACAUCUGUUACAAAGCCCAAGGUGCCUCUGUCCAAAGCUGUGACUGGAGGUUUUUUAUGGCACAUCGAUUAGAAGCUGAAGACUUUUGGUCUUUGCAGUUUUGUCUUUUAUUUCUUGAAUGUUUGUGUCUGUGGAUUUCUGUUUCAUCGUUUUGUCCUCAUUAUCAUCUUUUGCACUGAACAAAUCCUUGAUUGGAUAACCUUAAUGAAGCAGAGGCUUCCACCUUUCACAUACCCAUACAGAUGAUUUUAACUGGAUACUUCAAUUGGGAUACUUUAUACUUUCUGUCCCAAAUGCCUUUAGUAAACCAGCAAAAAAUCCCUUGUGGAAUAGAACAUUUUGCUUUUUAGUGAUGGGAAAUGGAGAGCCCAAUGUGAGACUGGCAAACUGCAAGUCUCACAUUGAGCUCCAGGUAUUAUAAGUGCCACUUCCAGACCACCUGUAUCCCAGGAUGGAUCCUCCCUGCCAUCAGCUCAUGAAGUCUGACCUGUAGCUGGUCCCUUCGCUCUAAAGCUGUGAAAUGUUCUUCCCUUUGCCAAAGUGGGGACCCCUCUCUAAUGUCACCCUGCUUGUGUGCUCUGUCUCCCACAGGGUCAAGUCCACCAGCCCUGAACAGAACUGCGCUGUUCUGCUGAAUGGUGCCAACUAUGCUUCCAGCUGUCAAGUCCCUGCCCCAUGGAUCUGUGAGAAAUCUGCUCAGUGACCUCUAUGGACCUUGUCUUAGGAAGCAUUCUUUGGAGAGCUGUGCUAAGGCCUGAUUCCUGUGAAGUUUCUCAGAGAGCAGCUGUGCUCCUUGCUCCUGUGCCACCUGCUACUCCUCAAGGAAUGAAUGCAGCUGCCACAGGAGGUCUGAAUGCUGCUCCUGUCUCCAUUCAGGACCACUCUGGUGAUGUUCACACUCAUAGCCCUUACCUAGUGACAGACAGUCAUCAGAGUGGUAGAGAAGGGGGAGGAGAGAUUUCUCUGAGUCACUCAGUCAUUUUCAGAGGUAUUUGAGCACUGUCACUGCUGUUUUGAAAUCCUAGGGAGAGGUGAGCUUGUAAUCUGUGAGCUCUGAGUUUAUUUACCUCUUUUGUGACACUGGUGACAUGCACCAAGGAUGAAAGCUAGCCUGAAGUUUGAAGUUGGUCUGUUUUUGCAAGUGAUAUAGAUGAUGUCCACUGGACCUUUCUAACCUAAUUUCUUCUGUGGUUUAUGUUGUAUCUGGAGAAAACUGGAGUAUGGCCUCUAGUGUUACAUUGCUGUGUAAAUAGCUGUGAAGGAGUGAACCUACUGCCUUGCUGAGCUGAAAAUAAAUGUGAAUUGCUUCUAACAAUUUCUUCAGUAGUGACUUUUUCUGUUUUCCUCCCUAUUAUUAUUGGAUAGUGCAUUCAUUGAUUUAUAAAAAGGCAAAAGGAAGCUGGUGGCAGGAACAGACUCAGAAGAGCAGGGGUUGAAAUACUUUGCAGUAACACUGCAGCAGAAAAUUACAGCCACAGCCAUGGAACUGUUGCCUACCCCAAGGGAUUAAGGACUGACAAAUUUACUUUUUUUUGUAGCCAAAUGAGUGAAGCGCUUCAUCUUCCAGUCCCUUUGUCCUAAGGCCUGCCUUGGCCAUGGUUCAAGUGCCCUGCAUCACCCCUGAGUGGUCUGUUUGGCCCCUGCUCAGAGUUUCCUCCAGAACAGCUCUCUUCUUAAAGAAGUCCUGCCAGACCCCUCAUCCAGCACUUCUUCCCAUGGGAUGCAGCAGAUAGAUAUAGUUCCAAUUUUUGUGACAAGUAGGCCACAAUCACACAAUGUCCUGUGCUGUGCAGCAACACCUUGACGGCAUGACAGGACAACUGUGAUGACUUUUUAGGGACAACCUAUUGGUAUUUUAGUGGUAUCUUAUGACAGUAUUUCUUAAAAUACUAAUAAUUAUGUUGUUAGGUUCAUUGUCCUAAGCAGUCACAAAAUAAGUUACUAGAAUUAGAUUAAGAAGUAUGUAAGUUACAGAAAUAAAGCUGGUUUUUUACCAAUGAAAUUGAGAUGCUAGUGUAACACCCAGGAGAUGUGAGAUGACAAAAAAGUUGUUGCUUAAUGAAUAUUUCUAAAAAUUUCAUCUUUAGCACCCCUUUGGUGUUGAAAAACAUGUAAGGUUAAUUAAAGUUAUGCAAUAGUAGCUUAGUAUUAUCCUGCAUUCUUCACAGUAAUCUUAAAGAAUGUUUAAUUCUCAUCAUACCUUAGUUAUUUUAAAAUUGUUACCUGUUCAGAAUCAAUUUGAAAAGUUACUUGUUUGUGUUCAGUAGUUUCCUAUAAGAGCUAUUCACUUUGAAUUACAAAACCCAACACAGCACGUGAGAAGAACAGGAGAGGUGCUCCAAAUAUUUCUUGCUAGAAGAAUGUGAAGCAAACCAGGAAGGAUCCUUUUCUUUUUAAUUCCUCUCACCCGGGGUGUUGUUUCAGCCUCUGAGGAGCACUCUUCUGUUUAGUAUGAAUGAUUACUCCUCAUGAAUAUACAAGUCUUUUCUCCGCACAUGGAAUUUUUGUCCUGUUCUCCCUACAGAGUCUGAGGCACCAAAAAAAUAGUACUGUGUUACUUCUGCUAGUUUGUGACUUUUCCAUAAUCAACUAUUAGAUUUCUAAACUAUACUUGCAGUACUGGAAAUGUGGAAAAUUAUUUGGGCUAUGGAAUGAAAACAGUUGUGUACACAUUUUAAGAAAAAAUAAAUAUUAUAGCACAGCUUUCUUUCAAAGGCAAUGUGCACUGCUGAACUGUUCAUCAGAAAAACAGAGAGAGAAUGUUAAAUAUAUCUGCCUUGUUUUUUGUCUUGGUGAAAACCCUGUUAGCUGUCUGUUCUAUACUGCCUUCAGGGAGUUAAAUGAGUAAGAUUUUUCUCAUGGUAUUUUAUACAAUUUGAAAGAAGUUCUGCUGUGUACACAGUGUCAGAAAAAAUAAACUGGAGAAAUAAACAAGAUCAGAUAAA